UUACCGAGUGCGGGUCUUUAUGGCCCAACCUCCCACCCGUGACUAUUGUACCUUGUUGCUUCGGCGGGCCCGCCAGCGUUGCUGGCCGCCGGGGGGCGUUUCGCCCCCGGGCCCGUGCCCGCCGGAGACCCCAACAUGAACCCUGUUCUGAAAGCUUGCAGUCUGAGUGUGAUUCUUUGCAAUCAGUUAAAACUUUCAACAAUGGAUCUCUUGGUUCCGGCAUCGAUGAAGAACGCAGCGAAAUGCGAUAACUAAUGUGAAUUGCAGAAUUCAGUGAAUCAUCGAGUCUUUGAACGCACAUUGCGCCCCCUGGUAUUCCGGGGGGCAUGCCUGUCCGAGCGUCAUUGCUGCCCUCAAGCCCGGCUUGUGUGUUGGGCCCUCGUCCCCCGGCUCCCGGGGGACGGGCCCGAAAGGCAGCGGCGGCACCGCGUCCGGUCCUCGAGCGUAUGGGGCUUCGUCUUCCGCUCUGUAGGCCCGGCCGGCGCCCGCCGACGCAAUUUUGUUGCAACUUGUUUUUUUCCAGGUUGACCUCGGAUCAGGUAGGGAUACCCGCUGAACUUAAGCAUAUCAAUAAGCGGAGGAAAAGAAACCAACCGGGAUUGCCUCAGUAACGGCGAGUGAAGCGGCAAGAGCUCAAAUUUGAAAGCUGGCUCCUUCGGGGUCCGCAUUGUAAUUUGCAGAGGAUGCUUCGGGUGCAGCCCCCGUCUAAGUGCCCUGGAACGGGCCGUCAUAGAGGGUGAGAAUCCCGUAUGGGGCGGGGUGUCUGCGUCCGUGUGAAGCUCCUUCGACGAGUCGAGUUGUUUGGGAAUGCAGCUCUAAAUGGGUGGUAAAUUUCAUCUAAAGCUAAAUACUGGCCGGAGACCGAUAGCGCACAAGUAGAGUGAUCGAAAGAUGAAAAGCACUUUGAAAAGAGAGUUAAACAGCACGUGAAAUUGUUGAAAGGGAAGCGCUUGCAACCAGACUCGCUCGCGGGGUUCAGCCGGGCUUCGGCCCGGUGUACUUCCCCGCGGGCGGGCCAGCGUCGGUUUGGGCGGCCGGUCAAAGGCCUCCGGAAUGUAGCGCCCUUCGGGGCGCCUUAUAGCCGGGGGUGCAAUGCGGCCAGCC
rnacentral:rRNA from 1 species